UAAUAGUGAUUCAACGUUCACCAUUUAUUUGUUUAGCGCCAACACAAACACAUAUAGCAAAUUCUAAUGUAGUUCGGUGGUCUAUGAUUAGGUUUUUACUAAAAGGAAUGAUGAUGACUGCUAAUUUUGUGUGCUGACAUUGUGACAAUCGAAGUACCCUUAGCAGACGCUUUUCUGCUAAGCAAACGCUUAGCAGAAUAAAGUACACCAGAGCCGCCAAAUACUCCAAAUAGUUUUAUCAUUUUCAUUUAUUGCAAUAUCUAUGAAAGUAGCGAGGAAAAAUUAUGGAGGAUAGAUAUUUAAAACCAUUUUGCCAUCACCGACCUGUAUCCAGAUUCAGAAUGUGCUUGUCUUACCCUUGUCCAUGUUUCGGUGAUGCAUAAGUUUAGCGUUUUCAAUCCAACCGGUGGGUAGAUGAUAUAAGAGCGGGAUCCAUUUAAAGGCCACACCAAGAGAAUGCACCGUUGCAUAAUAACUAAAUCGAAACAAUCGUCAAUGGACAAGUUUUGAUAGUAAAACUUUUCGCUUUACGUGCAUCCAUCUCGACCCAGGCAGUUUGUGGUCUCCGAAGCAGGAGUGUUUAGCAUGUGACUGUCUGUGUGUACCGCCUCCGGAAUGAACGAACAAGUGAGCGAAUCUAGGAACGAGAUCUAUCUGGCACUUUUAAUGGAACACUGAGUGAUAUUAUGGAAACGUUUGAUAGGCAAAUAAAAAUGGCAACCGAUGCCAAAGUGACAGAAGUUGUACUUUUGCAGCCAUAUGAGUGCACACAGGAUGGUUAUAAAAAUUGCAUCUAGCACCAAACCUUGCGUAAGCUUUUAAGUGGAAAACAAUACAAAAAGGAAGUAAAAAAAAGGAUUGCAACAGAUUGCAAUCGAGCACUGCAAGUGUAGGGCUUGGGAACAUCUUUUCAGCAUGACGCUCCCGGGCAGGCUUGCGAUGGAAUGAGGUGAUUCGUUUUACGUCCAACUUGGCAGUUUUCGCAGCUUGUGUUUGCUGUAAAAUAUCCCAAUUCAACCAAAAUCUCCCACAAGGCUUUGUUGGGUUAUAAAUAUUUUAGUUUG